rnacentral:misc_RNA from 1 species
GAUGAAGAACGUAGCGAAAUGCGAUAAGUAGUGUGAAUUGCAGAAUUCAGUGAAUCAUCGAAUCUUUGAACGCACAUUGCGCCCCUUGGUAUUCCAUGGGGCAUGCCUGUUCGAGCGUCAUUUGUACCUUCAAGCUCUGCUUGGUGUUGGGUGUUUGUCUCGCCUCUGCGUGUAGACUCGCCUCAAAGUCAUUGGCAGCCCGCAUCUCGCCGGCCGUGAGCGCAGCACAGACGCGCUCUUGGCAACGACGGAUCGGCUCUCCAAAAGCUUAUUUCAACCACUGACCUCGGAUCAGGUAGGGAUACCCGCUGAACUUAAGCAUAUCAAUAAGCGGAGGA